GUGACGCCCGGUCUGUCGGAGAGAAAGCCGCUCAGGCUGAAUUGGCUUCCUAUUUUGGGUGGAUAGCUUCCCUCGGCCCGAGGCAGAAAAAGAGCUGUGGUGAAAUCUCAUCACCAGGAGAACCUCGGAUCUCCUCAAGGAAGAGGGGCAGCACGAUCUAGGGCGAGCCAUUUAGAAGAUGUACUGAGAACGGCUGAAGAACCAAAGGCUGUCCAAUUCCAAUUCUUUGUCGUUCGGUUCGUAUGUGUGUGUGUGCGGUUUUCUUUUUAGACAAGAUUUUUUCCUGGCUGUGCUGGCCAGAGAACUCCCAGUUUACACCAGGCUGGCUUGGAACUCAGAGAAAUCAUGCCUGCCUCUCUGCCUUCCGAGUGCUUGAGAUUAAAGAUGUGUUCCACCACAA